rnacentral:rRNA from 1 species
CCUACGGGUGGCAGCAGUGGGGAAUAUUGCACAAUGGGGGAAACCCUGAUGCAGCGACGCCGCGUGAGUGAAGAAGUAUUUCGUUUUGUAAAGCUCUAUUAGUAGGGAAGAAAAUGACGGUACCUGAUUCAUAAGCCCCGGCUAACUACGUUCCAGCAGCCGCGGUAAUACGCAGGGGGCAAGCGUUAUCCGGAUUUACUGGGUGUAAAGGGAGCGUAGGCGGCAGUGCAAGUCUGUAGUGAAAGGCGGGGGCUCAACCCCAGGACUGCUGUUGAAACUGUACGGCUGGAGUGCAGGAGAGGUAGGUGGAAUUCCUAGUGUAGCGGUGAAAUGCGUAGAUAUUAGGAGGAACACCAAUGGCGAAGGCGGCUUACUAGACUGUAACUGACGCUGAGGCUCGAAAGCGUGGGGAGCAAACAGGAUUAGAUACCCGGGUAGUC